GAUUAUCGGAGGAAAGACCUGAAUUCAUAAUC
rfam:Flavobacterium sp. 40-81 scnpilot_p_inoc_scaffold_492, whole genome shotgun sequence.